UACGUAGGGUCCGAGCGUUGUCCGGAAUUAUUGGGCGUAAAGGGCUCGUAGGCGGUUUGUCGCGUCGGGCGUGAAAACACGGGGCUUAACCCCGUGCCUGCUUCCGAUACGGGCAGACUAGAGGUAUGCAGGGGAGAACGGAAUUCCUGGUGUAGCGGUGAAAUGCGCAGAUAUCAGGAGGAACACCGGUGGCGAAGGCGGUUCUCUGGGCAUUACCUGACGCUGAGGGGCGAAAGUGUGGGGAGCGAACAGG
rnacentral:rRNA from 1 species